CCUACGGGUGGCAGCAGUGAGGAAUAUUGGUCAAUGGUCGGGAGACUGAACCAGCCAAGCCGCGUGAGUGAUGAAGGUACAGAGUAUCGUACACCUCUUUUGUCAGGGAACAAAGGCGGGGACGUGUCCCCGGAUGAGUGUACCUGAAGAAAAAGCAUCGGCUAACUCCGUGCCAGCAGCCGCGGUAAUACGGAGGCUGCGAGCGUUAUCCGGAUUUAUUGGGUUUAAAGGUUGCGCAGGCGGUCUGUUAAGUCAGCGGUCAAAGCCCUGGGAUCAACCCCGGCCCGACGUUGACACUGGCAGUCUCGAGUUGGAGAGAAGUAGGCGGAAUGCGCGGUGUAGCGGUGAAAUGAAUAGAUAUCGCGCAGAACUCCGAUUGCGAAGGAAGCAUGCCGGCUCCACACUGACGCUGAGGCACGAAAGCGUGGGUAUCGAACAGGAUUAGAUAACACUGUAGUC
rnacentral:rRNA from 1 species